GUCCAUGCCGUAAACGGUGGGCGCUAGGUGUAGGGACUUCCACGUCUUCUGUGCCGCAGCUAACGCAUUAAGCGCCCGCCUGGGAGUACGGCCGCAAGGCUAAACUCAAAGGAAUUGACGGGGCCCGCACAAGCGGCGGAGCAUGUGGAUUAAUUCGAUGCAACGCGAAGAACCUUACCUGGGCUUGACAUACACCAGAUCGCUGCAGAGAUGUAGCUUCCCUUGUGGCUGGUGUACAGGUGGUGCAUGGUUGUCGU
rnacentral:rRNA from 1 species